GGAGGCUGCAGCUCAGUGGUAGACUGCAUGCUUAACAUGCAUGAGGUCCUGGGUUCAAUCCCUAGGACCUUCA
rnacentral:tRNA from 1 species